rnacentral:rRNA from 1 species
ACGAUGAAUCUUCUAGCUUGCUAGAAGUGGAUUAGUGGCGCACGGGUGAGUAAUGCAUAGGUUAUGUGCCCUUUAGUCUGGGAUAGCCACUGGAAACGGUGAUUAAUACUGGAUACUCCCUACGGGGGAAAGUUUUUCGCUAAAGGAUCAGCCUAUGUCCUAUCAGCUUGUUGGUGAGGUAAUGGCUCACCAAGGCUAUGACGGGUAUCCGGCCUGAGAGGGUGAUCGGACACACUGGAACUGAGACACGGUCCAGACUCCUACGGGAGGCAGCAGUAGGGAAUAUUGCUCAAUGGGGGAAACCCUGAAGCAGCAACGCCGCGUGGAGGAUGAAGGUUUUAGGAUUGUAAACUCCUUUUGUUAGAGAAGAUUAUGACGGUAUCUAACGAAUAAGCACCGGCUAACUCCGUGCCAGCAGCCGCGGUAAUACGGAGGGUGCAAGCGUUACUCGGAAUCACUGGGCGUAAAGAGUGCGUAGGCGGGGUAAUAAGUCAGAUGUGAAAUCCUGUAGCUUAACUACAGAACUGCAUUUGAAACUGUUACUCUGGAGUGUGGGAGAGGUAGGUGGAAUUCUUGGUGUAGGGGUAAAAUCCGUAGAGAUCAAGAGGAAUACUCAUUGCGAAGGCGACCUGCUGGAACAUUACUGACGCUGAUGCACGAAAGCGUGGGGAGCAAACAGGAUUAGAUACCCUGGUAGUCCACGCCCUAAACGAUGGAUGCUAGUUGUUGCCUUGCUUGUCAGGGCAGUAAUGCAGCUAACGCAUUAAGCAUCCCGCCUGGGGAGUACGGUCGCAAGAUUAAAACUCAAAGGAAUAGACGGGGACCCGCACAAGCGGUGGAGCAUGUGGUUUAAUUCGAAGAUACGCGAAGAACCUUACCUAGGCUUGACAUUGAUAG